rnacentral:rRNA from 1 species
GACGAACCGUGCGAACGUUGUUCGGAAUCACUGGGCUUAAAGGGCGCGUAGGCGGCAUAUCAAGUCCGGGGUGAAAGCCCCCAGCUUAACUGGGGAAGUGCCUUGGAUACUGGUGUGCUCGAGGGAGGUAGGGGUCGAGGGAACUUCUGGUGGAGCGGUGAAAUGCGUAGAGAUCGGGAGGAACAUCUGUGGCGAAGGCGGCCACCUGGACCAACACUGACACUGAGGCACGAAAGCUAGGGGAGCAAACAGG